AGUUUACUGGAAGUCCUGWUCAUUCCUCUGAGCCUGUUGGUGGUGUUGAUAGCUGUUACCUUGGUCACAUUGAAGAUGUUGAGAAAACAUAAGGACAAGAAGGCAAAGGACCAACCACCAAACACCUCAGUACAGCCUGCUGACCCUGAGCAGGACAUUACCUACAGCACUGUGAGUCACAUCAGAGGAACAGCACAACAGGACCUAAACCCAGAGAGACAUGGUGACUUAUACAGCAAUGUGAUUCCUAUGCAGCACUGGACGGCACAAAGGCAGGACCCAUUUCCGGAUGAU